AGCAGUGUAGCAUAGUGGUAAGGAGCAGGGCUUGUAACCGAAAGGUUGCUGGUUCAAUUCCCUACCAGGGCACUGCUG
rnacentral:tRNA from 1 species